rnacentral:lncRNA from 1 species
CAUCUCAUAUACGAUUGGCUUGUAGGGCAUAAUUCUUUCAAUCUCCAACUUGCACUAAAGCCAAUCGCCCUUAUACUUGAUACCCAUGCUAUCAAGGUGGUGGUCAAACUGCUGCAUUGAUAAGGCCUUAGUGAACGGGUCCGCUAUAUUAUUUCUGGUGUCAACUCACUUUAUGAUCACAUCGCAUCAUUCGAUUAUCUCUCGAAUGAGAUG